rnacentral:rRNA from 1 species
GACGAACGCUGGCGGCGUGCCUAAUACAUGCAAGUCGAGCGGACUGAUUAAGAGCUUGCUCUUAUGACGUUAGCGGCGGACGGGUGAGUAACACGUGGGCAACCUGCCCUGUAGAUCGGGAUAACACCGAGAAAUCGGUGCUAAUACCGGGUAAUAUCUGAGAUCACAUGAUCUUAGGUUAAAAGAUGGCUCCGGCUAUCGCUACAGGAUGGGCCCGCGGCGCAUUAGCUAGUUGGUAAGGUAAUGGCUUACCAAGGCGACGAUGCGUAGCCGACCUGAGAGGGUGAUCGGCCACACUGGGACUGAGACACGGCCCAGACUCCUACGGGAGGCAGCAGUAGGGAAUCUUCCGCAAUGGACGAAAGUCUGACGGAGCAACGCCGCGUGAGUGAUGAAGGGGUUCGGCUCGUAAAGCUCUGUUGUUAGGGAAGAAACAGUACCGAACGAACUAGGUCGGUACCUUGACGGUACCUAACCAGAAAGCCACGGCUAACUACGUG